rnacentral:rRNA from 1 species
CAUGUCCUUUUGAAUUUAAUUUAAGGUCUAAUCUGCUCAAUGAUAUUUAAAUAGCCGCAGUAUUUUGACUGUGCAAAGGUAGCAUAAUAAUUAGUUUCUUAAUUGGGAGCUGGAAUGAAUGAUUGGACAAGAAAAUUUCUGUCUCUUUCUUAAUUUUAUUGAAUUUUAUUUUUAAGUGAAAAAGCUUAAAUUUUUAUAAAAGACGAGAAGACCCUAUAGAGUUUAAUAAUUAAUUUUAAUAAGAGUUUAGUAUUAUUAUUUAGAAUUAAAUUAUUUGGUUGGGGUGAUUAAAAGAUUAAAAAAAUUCUUUUAUAAAUUUAAUUGAAUAUUUUCAAUUUUUAAAUCUAUAAUUUAUAAAAUUAAAAUAAAUUACCUUAGGGAUAACAGCGUAAUUUUUCUUUAAAGUUCUUAUUAAUAGAAAAGUUUGCGACCUCGAUGUUGGAUUAAAAUUAAUUUUUGGUGCAGUAACUGAAAAAUUAGGUCUGUUCGACCUUUAAAAUUUUACAUGAUCUGAGUUUAGACCGGUGUGAGCCAGGUCGGAUUCUAUCUUUAGAAAUUUUUUAUAUUUUAGUACGAAAGGACCAAAUAUAAAUUAAAUUAAUUGU